rnacentral:piRNA from 1 species
UAUGAUUACUGGAGUAUAGGUUUCCAUA